rfam:Gossypium hirsutum cultivar TM-1 chromosome 21, whole genome shotgun sequence
UCUGAGGAAGCGUUUUGCCUACUUGGACAUAAAGCGCAUCCUUGAGGGAGUGAUUUUUUUCCAUGUAGGAAAAACGCUUCCUCAGGG